rnacentral:rRNA from 1 species
AUUGAACGCUGGCGGCAGGCUUAACACAUGCAAGUCGAGCGGGGGAAGGUAGCUUGCUACCGGACCUAGCGGCGGACGGGUGAGUAAUGCUUAGGAAUCUGCCUAUUAGUGGGGGACAACAUCUCGAAAGGGAUGCUAAUACCGCAUACGUCCUACGGGAGAAAGCAGGGGAUCUUCGGACCUUGCGCUAAUAGAUGAGCCUAAGUCGGAUUAGCUAGUUGGUGGGGUAAAGGCCUACCAAGGCGACGAUCUGUAGCGGGUCUGAGAGGAUGAUCCGCCACACUGGGACUGGGACACGGCCCGGACUCCUACGGGAGGCAGCAGUGGGGAAUAUUGGACAAUGGGGGGAACCCUGAUCCAGCCAUGCCGCGUGUGCGAAGAAGGCCUUAUGGUUGUAAAGCACUUUAAGCGAGGAGGAGGCUACUUUAGUUAAUACCUAGAGAUAGUGGACGUUACUCGCAGAAUAAGCACCGGCUAACUCUGUGCCAGCAGCCGCCGUAA